rnacentral:lncRNA from 1 species
GAACAUUCAGAAACACACCUAGCGAAGCGCACUAGCAACGACAUAACAACAAUGGCUACUAAGAUAUUAUCCCUCCUUGCGCUUCUUGCCCUUUUUGUUAGCGCAACAAAUGCGUUCAUUAUUCCACAAUGCUCACUUGCUCCUAGUGCCAUUAUUCCACAGUUCCUCCCACCAGUUAGUUCAAUGGGCUUCGAACAUCCAGCUGUGCAAGCCUACAGGCUACAACAAGCGCUUGCGGCGAGCGUCUUACAACAACCAAUUGCCCAAUUACAACAACAAUCCUUGGCACAUCUAACAAUACAAACCAUCGCAAUGCAACAGCAACAGCAACAACAGUUCCUACUAGCACUGAGCCACCUAGCCAUGGUGAACCCUGGCGCCGACUUGUAACAACAACUGCUUGCAUCCAACCCACUUGCUCUGGCAAACGCAGUUGCAAACCAGCAACAACAACAGCUGCAACAGUUUCUGCCAGCGCUCAGUCAACUAGCCAUGGUGAACCCUGCCGCCGACCUACAACAGCAACAACUGCUUUCAUCUAGCUCGCUCGCUGUGGCCAAUGCACCUACAUACCUGCAACAACAAUUGUUGCAACAGAUUGUACCAGCUCUGACUCAGCUAGCUGUGGCAAACCCUGCUGCCUACUUGCAACAGCUGCUUCCAUUCAACCAACUGACUGUGUCGAACUCUGCUGCGUACCUACAACAGCGACAGCAGUUACUUAAUCCACUGGCAGUGGCUAACCCAUUGGUCGUUGCCGUCCUACAGCAGCAACAUUUGCUGCCAUACAACCAGUUCUCUUUGAUGAACCCUGUCUUGUCGAGGCAGCAACCCAUCGUUGGAGGUGCCAUCUUUUAGAUUACAUAUGAGAUGUACUCGAUAAUGGUGCCCUCAUACCGGCAUGUGUUUUCUAGAAAUAAUCAAUAUAUUGAUUGAGAUUUAUCUCGAUAUAUUUCUCAACUAUGUUCAUCAUAUAAAUAAUUGAAAACAUCAAAUCGUAAUUAUAAACUCAUCCUUGGUCAAUACAUAGACAAUACGAUAUUACUUCAACAUCCCAAUGAUGUCAUAGCCCAACCUCUUGAAUGUUACUGUUUUAAUGUGUGAGGGUAUAUUUAUAAGAUUGACGUGACUAUUUGUGCUUUUUUUGAGUACAUACAUAUAUGGUAUGUUGAUUUGAUAUAGUGAUGGACACAUGCUUUGACCAUGAAUAUUCAAAUCAGUUGUACUUGCACGAAGCAAAACAUAAUAUAAGUUUAGGAGUAGACUUAUAACUAUGUCCAAACAUGCUCACACAAAUUCAUACCACAUUAUAAUUUUUUGGUAAAUAUUCCACACAUGUAUGUUUUAUAAGAACCCAAAUUUUGCAGACAAAUGCUGAAUUGUAGACAUGUAGAAUUCUUUGAAGCUCGUGAACUUAACAACACCAAGGUCAUUAAAUCAACUCGACCCUAUGAGUAACAAUUUCGAUAUUGCAAACACCAAAUUAUAGAACUUAUUGGCUGAAAAAUUAUGAGCAAUGUGAAGUUUAAAUUAUUAUACCAUAAAUAUAUCAAAGAAUUUUUUUGAGGAACGUAAAAAUUGCAUGGAAUGGGCUGCCCAACGUGCUAGCUCACUUCUAUGCUAGGUAGCAUUACCAAAGAUGGGAAUGUUGCUGAUGAACGCAAAACCCACUCAAAUCAUAUAUAUAUUUGGGAUGUUUAGUUGUAAAAGUGAAGACCUAAGAUAAAAGUACCAAUUGUCCAAUGACAUUCAAUUAUUUUGUUCGGGGAGCACUUUGUGUGUCAUUUGGACUCGUAUCUUAGUCCAAUAGAUUGCAUUUUCCUUCAAUGUGUAGAAUCCGACAAAGUGCUUGUUCCAAAAUUGUAAAUCUAACUAAAUUAUAAAGCUUGUUACUAAUUUGAUGGUUUAUUAGGUGUAGCUCAUAAAACUAGAACCAACAUAGCCUGCACUCACAUGUCAUAGAAAAUAGGAGUAUCCAAGCACAAUUUGUGUGAGCAUACAUGACACAAAUUAUAUAUAGACUGAUAUAAUUAAUUCCUUGAAAAAAGAAAAAGGAAACAAUAAAAUGUUUUUUGAUAUUGCAGGAUAUCUCCUUUAGCUAAUGAGGAGUACUAAAAAGAUGUUGCACUUUUGGGUGGCGAGAAUUCGUCAAUCAUAACUUUGACAUAAUUUUAAUCCGGAUCACAUAUAUAUCAUCAUAUAUUAAUUAUUAAAUUAAUAUGGUUCCAUCAUCGUAUUAUUAAUUCAAUCCGAUAUAACCAUCAGAUCUUAAUUAUUAAAUUAAUCUGGAGCGUACAUUAUAUUAUCAAACCAAAUCAACCCGACAUAACCAUCUAAUGUUCCGCUAUGCACAAUAAGCGCAUGGUCUGGGGCUUAAUCAUCCGGAAUAACCAUCCGAUCUUCUGGUAAGCAUAGUAAGCGUAUGGUUCACGACUUUGUCAUUCGGAAUAACCAUUAGAUUUUCCGGUAUGCACUGAAAGCAAAUGAUCCGGGGUUUUGGUAGGUGUAACGUUGUUAGGUGAAUGCGUAUGUUGGCUGCUGUUGCACGUGCGAACUGCUGUGUGGAAGCUGCUGGGUCCUCCUCUAUUAUGUGUGGCUUGUGGCGGGCUUGGACUGCUCUCAUGGCUUCGUCACUUGGAACUGCUCGUCCGUCCGGUCCUGCGUGCAUCUCUCUCUCCUAGCUGGAGGCGUGGUGGCCUGGUGGUUUCUCUGUGUUUUUCUUUUUACGACGGCUUCUCUUGUUGGCUAGGGUUGGCAUCAGGGGCCCGGUCAGCUAUGCUCCCUCAGCUUUUAUAGGCAGCGAACCACCGCAGGCAGAGCAGAGAUAAAGAUUCCAACUGCAUCCAUCUACAAACAAGGAUCUCGACGGAAGAGAUAAAAGCAUGCAGCACAAUUGCCGCUGCCCUACUGCAGCCUUGACUCUCGUCAAUUGGAUGACCAAAAGAUGCCACCGUCUAAGCUCUUUUCUUUGUGCAGCUGCCUGUUUGUCACCAACACAAAAUUUGUAGGUGCAUGUUUGUCACCAAUUAUCCUCUACCACAAAGAACUACAAUAGUGGUGGAGGAUCCGAUCCGGCACAGAUCCACUAUAAUGCAUAGUUGGUGAUGCAUGCCUAAUGGUGGUUGUUUAGUGUUAGUUUGGGCAUGUUGGAACUAAGCAAUUGUCGAUGCCAUACACUAGAAGUGAAGAAUGUUGUUAGCGUUAGGAGUAGAGGUGUCAAUGGGGACCGAUGCCCGUUAAGCCAUGGAGAAUUUCUCUAUUAGAUUUAGGGUAUGGGAAGAUUUUAAUUUCCAUUUGCUGAAUUUAGGUAUACAUCUAUUUGAAUCAACAGUUACAGUUCAACAAAAACUCUUUCCGCUCUAGUUUGUUUCGUGUCCUACCUUUUUCCUAAACUAGUUUUCCCUAAAUUGACAUACUCUCUAGAAAAUAUAUCCAAAUUUUGAAGAUCAAAUAUGUUCCAUUGAAUUAUUCAUGACAUAUAUCUUGGUAUUGCUUUUUUGUCAUCAGAAUAUAUUUUGAACUCAGUAAAAGUUAUACACGAUUUUUUUAGACAAUACUAAAGCAAGUUGUAAUCAAGAACAUUUGAGGUGUGCGCCAAUUUCCACAUUUAGAUAUAAUCAUUCUAAUUUUGGUCAUCCUAUGUAUGUGCAUUCAUCUAUGCAUUCUAGGAUUUCAAUUAGUCUCAAUCUUGUAGUAUUUGUUCCUUCAUUGUCAAAUCACUUCUCAUCUAACUACUAUGCUUGUUUAACCAUCAGAACAUAACUACAACAAUAUCCAUUUAUAAAGGUUUUGAUAGCAAACUUUACAUAUUCAUAUCAUGUUAAGGUUGUCACAUGUGUAAAGGUGAAGAGAUCAUGCAUGUCAUUCCACGUAGAUGAAAAGAAUUCCUAUAUAAAAUGACACCUUUUCUUGUAGGUAGUGGAAAGUAUCUUUCCAGCAAAGACCAUAUAAUCCGAUAAAGUUGAUAACUAAAUGUCGAAAUAGAGUAGAUGCCAUAUCAUCUAUACCUUAUCUGUUGUUUGGAAAAAGACUAAAUCCAAAAAUAUAUAUAUAAGAUCUCACUUGUAUAAAUAGCUCCCAAAUUAGUAGUUAACCAUCACCCAUAAUAUUUUGAGCAUUCAGAAACACACCUAGCGAAGCGCACUAGCAACGACCUAACAACAAUGGCUUCCAAGACAUUAUCCCUCCUUGCGCUUCUUGCCCUUUUUGUGAGUGCAACAAAUGCGUUCAUUAUUCCACAAUGCUCACUUGCUCCGAGUGCCAUUAUUCCACAGUUCCUCCCUCCAGUUACUUCAAUGGGCUUCGAACACCCAGCUGUGCAAGCCUAUAGGCUACAACAAGCGCUUGCGGCGAGCGUCUUAGAACAACCAAUUGCCCAAUUACAACAACAAUCCUUAGCACAUCUAACCAUACAAACCAUCGCAACGCAGCAGCAACAAGCACUGAGCCACCUAGCCGUGGUGAACCCUAUCGCCUACUUGCAACAACAGCUGCUUGCAUCCAACCCACUUGCUUUGGCAAACGUAGCUGCAUACCAACAACAACAACAGUUGCAACAGUUUCUGCCAGCGCUCAGUCAACUAGCCAUGGUGAACCCUAUCGCCUACCUACAACAGCAACAACUUCUUUCAUCUAGCCCGCUCGCUAUGGGCAAUGCACCUACAUACCUGCAACAACAGUUGUUGCAACAACAGUUGCUGCAACAAAUUGUACCAGCUCUUACUCAGCUAGCUGUGGCAAACCCUGCUGCCUACUUGCAACAACUACUUCCAUUCAACCAACUGACUGUGUCGAACUCUGCUGCGUACCUACAACAGCGACAACAGUUACUUAAUCCACUAGCGGUGGCUAACCCAUUGGUCGCUGCCUUCCUACAGCAGCAACAAUUGCUGCCAUACAACCAGUUCUCUUUGAUGAACCCUGCCUUGUCGUGGCAGCAACCCAUCGUUGGUGGUGCCAUCUUUUAGAUUACAUAUGAGAUGUACUCGAUAAUGGUGCCCUCAUAGCGGCAUGUGUUUCCUAAAAAUAAUCAAUAUAUUGAUUGAGAUUUAUCUCGAUAUAUUUCUGAACUAUGUUCAUCAUAUAAAUAAUUGAAAACAUCAUAUCAUAAUUAUAAACUUAUGCUUGGUCAAUACAUAGACAAUACAAUAUUACUUCAUCAUCCCAAUGAUGUCCAAGCCAAACCUCUUGAAUGUUACUGUUUGGGUGUGUGCGGGUGUAUUUAUAAGAUAGAUGUGACUAUUUGCGCUUUUUGUUGAGUACACACAUAUAUGGUAUGUUGAUUUGAUAUAGUGAUGGACACAUGCUUUGACCAUGAAUAUUCAAAUCAGUUGUACUUGCACGAAGCAAAACAUAAUAUUAGUUUAGGAGUAAACUUAUAACUGCGUCCAAACAUGCUCACACAAAUUCAUACCACAUUAUAUUUUUUUGGUAAGUAUUCCACACAUGUAUUUUUUACAAGAACCCAAAUUUUGCACACAAAUGUAGCAUUCUAGAUAUGUAUAAUUCUUUGAAGCCCGUGAACUUAACAACAGCAAGGUCAUUAAAUCAAUUGGACCCUAUGAGUAAUAAUUUCGAUACGCAAACACCAAAUUAUGGAACUUAUUGGCUGAAAAAAUUAUGAUCAAUGUAAAGUUUAAAUUAUUAUACCAAAAAUAUAUCAAAGAACUUUUUUGAGGAACGUAAAAAUUGCAUGGAAUGGGCUGUCUAACGUGCUAGCUCACUUUUAUGCUAGGUAGCAUUACUAAAGAUGGGAAUGUUGCUGAUGAACGCCAAACCCACUCAAAUAAUAUUUAUAUUUGGGUUGUUUAGUUGUAAAAGUGAAGAUCCAAGAUUAAAAUACCAAUUGGCCAUUGUCAUUCGAUUGUUUUGUUUAGAGAGCACUUGGUGCGUCAUUUGGACUCGUAUCUUAGUCCAAUAGAUUGCAUUUUCCUUCAAUGUGUAGAAUCCGACAAAGUGCAUGUUCUAAAAUUGUAAAUCUAACUAAAUUAGAAAGCUUGUUACUAAUUCGAUGGUUUAUUAGUUGUAGCUCAUAAAACUAGAACCAACAUAGCCUGCACUCACAUGUCAUAGAAAAUAGGAGUAUCCAAGCACAAUUUGUGUGAGCAUCCAUGACACAAAUCAUAUAUAGACUGAUACAAUUAAUUCCUUCAAAAAUAAAAAAGGAAAAAAUAAAGUGUUUUUGGAUACUGUAGAAUAUCGAGCGAAGGGUGACGUCUUCACCUUCGCCCCAACAUUUGCCCUCCGAGGGACCAGUUCGACUAAGUCAUUUGGUGCCGAAGGUGUCGCUAGAUGGUGGAGACGCUGCCCUCGCUCGAAGUGGUUCCGCGGGGGUUUUUGACAUGACCGUUGAUUGACGCCACACUGUUGGAUUGCUGGCUUCCCGAAGCGUCGCGCCCUGUGUAUAUAAAGGGGGUGGGGGCGGCGGGGAUUGAAAUUUACCUUUCUGCGCGCCGCGAAAACCCUAGCCUCCCUGUCAAACUGCUCGCUUGCUCGUCUGCCCUCCUUGCUCCUGUUCGUCGGAGAACUGGCCCACGUGAAGCAGACUGUGCGCCGCCGUCGACGGUACGUAGCCAUGCCGUCUUCCUCCUCGUCUGCUGCGACCACGCCGACGGCCAAGGCGACUUCCGAAGAUCUCUCGGGCACUGUGGCGGCGGCGGAAUUACGACCGGGUGAUACGGUGGAAUUCGGUGUUUCGCGGAUGUCGUUGGUCCGCGUGCAAGAUAUGCAACAGUUGGUGUAUUUUGGCGGCGGGGUUGGUCGAGUCCCGGGGCCAGAGGAGGUCCCCGAGCUCGAGGGCGAAUUGGUUGUUUUUGAGGCAUUUUUCAUCGCCGGCCUUCGCCUGCCUGCGCAUCGUUUUAUGUCGGAGGUUCUGCAGAAGUUCAAAGUCCAGGUUCAUUAGCUCACACCGAACGCCGUGGUGGCGUUGGCGAAGUAUGUCUGGGCAACGACGUCGUAUGGCGGUCAGCCUUCGGUGGAAGUCUUCGCCAAGCAAUACGGUCUGCAUUGGCAGAAGAGAAAAAAUGGACAUAAGAUUGCUCAAUUCGGAUCAUGCACUUUCACGCCGAAGUCCGGGAAGACUUCGAUGGAAGUGGUGGAGCUGGUCCCCUGUGCCCAAAAUAAGUGGGGCAACUGGUGGGACUACUGGUUCUAUGUUUCGGAGGCUGAAGUCGAAGAUCACCCAGGGCUCCCUGCCGCCAUUAUGUGCUCUCAUUACUAUGUGGCAUACCCGCCAUUUGAAGUGGCGGAGGAUGAUGAAAAUGAAAGGGCCCUUCGGAUCGCUGCCCGCACGAGUAGUGGGCGCGAUCUAGUUGAGGAAUUCAUAGGGUAUGGGGUGUGGCCCUUGGCGCAUGGAUGGGCGUUGGGCAAAGUAUGCCCUCGCGAGAUGCCCUCCCUGGGCGGGCGGAAGGUGCGAAGUCCGCUUUUUGCUUUGGAUGUGCGAGGGCGGGAUCCUGCCGCGGUUGUGCAUGAGGCGGAGGAUGGGGCGGUGAGAAUUGUUGGGUGCUACGUGCCGAAGACGGAGGCCCAGCGGAGUUGGGAUAUACGUGGAUCCAACGACCGCCUGAAUAGGGUCUUCGAGUUGAAUUGUUUGCCGUAUGGCGGUUAUCCCGGGGAAGACGUUGUCGACCACAGCGGGAAAAAACCAGCGGCUGUGACUGAAGACGACCCCGCGUCGGAGGCCGCCCCAGCCACUAAGAAGAGGAAGCUAGGUACUGCGGUGGGAGAACUGGGGGUCUCCGAUAGUUUUGCUAUGGAGUUGAUGGGGACAUGCGUGGCCCCCGGGGGAAGGAUGUCUUCGCCCGAGCUCCGGGAGUCUUCGGCGCGGAUGUUGGAGGUUACCGGGGGUCGAUGGCCCAAAAACGUUCCUAUCCCCCGCGCGGCUGGCGAAGACUUCUUUACAUCUCGCAUGGCUCGUGACUUGAGAGUGUUUCCUUACAGACGGAAUAUUGCUGUUGUUGUGUCGAUAGUGAUGAACAAGGAUCACCAGGAUGCUGCGCAGAAGCGUCGGGCGGUCAUCAGGCUCCCCGACGCUAGGCGUGAAGCGAAGAGAGCGCGAGGGAGUGCGAAGGCUAUCGUCCCCGGCGGUAGCCAGCCGAUGCUGGCUGCAAAGCCGGCCGCGCCUGGAUCCAGCAAGGUGCCGGAGAGCGGGAAGGCGGUCGGCGCCGGUGGAACCAAGUCUGCCCCGGACGGAGCUGUGAAGGUCCGGGAGCUGCCUUCGACGGGGAAACGCGUUGCCGACUUCGGCAUGAAUAUUAGCGUGGACGACUAUCUCGUUGGUAAGCAUUUUUUUUAUUCUGACCGGUGAUACGUUGCAGGGUCGAGUGAGGGGCAACUGGUUGUUGUCCCACCUGUGGUGGCAACCACGGCGUCAACCGCGGUGCUUGGGGUGAAGGGUGGCGCUUUCAGCGCUGGCGGCGAGAUUUCGGCGGCCACUGCCGUCAAGGACGAAGCGGGCACUAUGUCCCGCCGGCUGAGGGAGGCGUCGCAGCAGCUAAGUCAAGUAAGUUGAGCUGGACUUCGGUGUUUCCUGCUUUCAUGGGGAUUGUGGUCUCAUGUGUGUCUGUUAGGCGGCCGACUUCGCCGACCGCGUGGCGUCGGGUGCCCUUACUGCAGAUGUGUCUGCCGAAGUCGAGAGACUUUGGGCGCAGCACGCGGACGCCGUCCGGGAGAAGUCGGCUGCGGAGAGCAAGAGCCACAGGCUGGCGGAGAAGGUGGCCGCCCUGGAGGGCGAGAGGAUGGACCUCCGGCGCCAGUUGGUGGAGGAAAGGAGGGAGGCCAACCAGGCCAUCGCCAAGGUGCAGGCGGCGCAGGCGGAGGCCAAAUUGGCGUGGGCGGAGGGGAGUCUCGCCAGCCAACGCGCCGAGGAAUGGGAGGUGCGGUUCAACGCUCUGCACGCCCGCAUGGAGAGGGCCGAGGCCUCUACGCGCUCGGAAGUUGAGCGAACGCGCAAACAGCUCGUGGACUCAUACCGGGAGCUGGGUGCGCGGACUGCUGACUUCGAGGUGCCCGACCGAGAAGCGAGCCUUCGCUUCCUCGAGUGGCUGCAAGAGGAAUUGCUGGCACUCCCGACCAUCGUGGAGGGAUUCAUGUCUUUUGCCUCCCUCGUCACCUGCGAAGGGGCCAUGAAUGCGUUGUCCCGCAAGGGAUGCAAUCACUAUGAGGGCUUCGACCGGUCCGAUGAAGACUUUGGGCGCGAAAUUUUUAAGGUCGAAGACCCUGUGGUGAAGGAUUCUGCGGGGGCCCUCUUCGAUCGGAUGUGGGGUCCUCAUGGCCGGGAGGCGGUCAAGGAGCGGUCUGAUCGGGCGAGAGAGCAUGUAAGUCUUGUCUGUUGUUUCGUGUGAUUGAAUGUGGGUACGUGUGGGUUUGCUGAAUGAGUGUGUUGUUGCUGCAGAUGGCGCAUGCUGAGGAUGUCAAAGACCUCGGAGGUCUAAACAGUGCGCCGCCCGAGGCUGCGGAGGGCAGACCGGUGCUGCCCUCGGAUGCUGGUGAACGCCCAUCGGACGUGCCCGUGCCUGCUGCUGUCGGCGAAGACCCUGUGUCGGCCCCUGUGCCGACAGUCAAAGGCGCUCAUGAGGUGGUGGCGGAGCCGGUGGUCGAAGGCCCUACGGCCGCGGAGGCGCCCGCGCAGGUGGCUAAGUAGUUGAAUAGGUUUAGGGGGGUUGUAAAUUUUGUCUACGUGUUACUGAACCUCGGUUGCUGCGCAGGUUCAGGGUUUUGGGCCUGCGUACGCAACCGCUACUGAAAGUGCUAAUUUUGUGGCGGCUUCGACCGUGGUUGCGGAAAAUGAUUCGGGUGAUUCUGUGUCUAAGUUUUUUGAGUCUGAUGAUUCUGUGAGUUCGGUGGUGUGGACUGAAGAGUCUUCGGAUGAGGACUUGGAUUAUUUUGCGGCAUUGGAUGUGGCUGCGGCGGAGGCUUCGCCGUGUGUGAUGGGUGCUGAGGUUCUCGGUCCGAGCGCUGGGCGUAGGCGGCAAAGGGCGGUGGCGAAGCGCGGAGUGAGUGAGGUGGAGGGUGGUCGUCUUCGUGUGGACAGGGCUGGUAGGCGGGAAUUGUUGUCCUUGCCAGAUGGGGCGAGUGUAGGUGAGGGGGAAUUGCGAAGUCUGUUUGAGGGUGAGGAGCUGAGGAUAAUGUUGUUUAACUAUAGGGAGAUGGGUAUCAUCCCGAAGGUUGAACCAUUGUAAGGUGUGAUGCCCUCGUUGUACGUAUGUAACUAUAAUUUGUAUGAUGAGGCUGUGUGCCUUAGCUGAUACGGUCGUGCCCGUAGGGGACUUGUGCACUAGGUCUAGCACGUUUAUUAUGUCGGUCCAGCUGCACCCUCAGGCGACUUUUGCACGGAUAGUCUUGGGAGGAAGACUUCGAUUUUUCGCACUUGUUGUGCUAGUCCGGCUGCACCCUUAGGCGACUUUUGCACGGAUAGUCUUUUGGAGAAGACUUCGAUUUUGCGCACUUGUUGUGCUAGUCUGGCUGCACACUUAGGCGACUUUUGCAUAGACAAUAUUUUGGGGAAGACUGGUUUUGCGCACUUUUUGUGCUAGUCCGGCUGCACCAUUAGGCGACUUUUGCACGGAUAGUCUUUUGGGGAAGACAUGUUUUGCGCACUUGUUGUGCUAGUCCGGCUGCGCCCUUAGGCGACUUUUGCGCGGACUGUCGCACGUGAGGGUAGCCAGCGCUGCCCCUCGCGGUGACUUCGUGUUUGUCGAAUGUCGAAGACUGUCGAUGCGGUCUUCUUUCGACGUUGUAAUUUUUUGCGGGGGAUUUUUUGCGUGUAUAUUACAUGGCUCCACCUCAUUAAAAACCUCACCCCCCGGUAGGAAAAGAGUGCGGGCCGGAAUAAAAACUGUCUUGCGAAUUACAAGGGUGAGCUGGCCCUAAGGAGUCAAACAAAAAACUUGCGAAGAUUGUCAAUGUUCCAAGAAUGUUCAAAGUCUUCGCCAGAUGGCGUUGUGAGCCUGUACGCGCUGGGGGACGCCUUCGUCUUGACAAUGAAAGGGCCCUCCCAUUUUUGCUCUAGCCUGCCCCGGGACUCUGUCCGAGUUGUCCGGACGAGUACGAGGUCUCCUUCGCUAAAUUCCCUCGGGAUGACUGUGUGGUCGCGCCAUGCUUUUGUUUGAGCUUGGUAUUUGUUUAGAGCCUGUAGGGAGAAGACACGGUCUCCGUCGAUGAGGUCCUUCGAAGUAGGUUCGUCUACGUCGGGGACGGCUGACGCGACUGUCCGCAGUGACCCAUGUUUUAUUUCUUGCGGAGUCAUGGCCUCCGAUCCAUAUAGAAGGCGGAAAGGGGUGAACCCAGUCGCCCUGAACUCAGUCGUGUUCAGCGCCCAGACCGCUUUAGGUAACAGGUCUGCCCACUUUCCUUUUUUGUCGUCGAGGAGCAUUUUCUUGAUGGCUGUGAAAAUUUUACCGUUGGCGCGUUCCACAACUCCGUUGGAUUGCGGGUGGUACACUGAGGCGAAGGCAAGCUUGGUGCCGAUGGAGAAGCAGAAAUCCUUGAAGUCUUGGCUGUCAAAUUGCUUGCCAUUGUCAGCUGUGAGUUCGGACGGGACUCCGAAGCGGCAAACAAUGUUUUGCCAGAAGAAUUUCUGGGCAGUCUUCGAUGUUAUCGUGGAUACAGUCCUCGCCUCGAUCCAUUUGGUAAAAUACUCGACGGCGACGAAGGUCAACUUGAGGUUCCCCUAGGCCGUGGGUAGGGGCCCGACAAUGUCCAGGCCCCAGCGCUGAAGAGGCCACGUGUGGGCGAUUAGCUUUGUGAAUUGCGAAGGGCUUCCCGAGCGUGGAGAAAAUUUCUGGCAGGCUUCGCAGGACCUUGUGACCCGAUUUGCAGCGCAGAUCAUGGCGGGCCAGUAGAAACCUUGAUGGAUCACCUUUGCGGCUAGGGCCCUGGGCCCUGCGUGAGAGCCGCAAGUCCCGCUGUGGACUUCGCGCAGAAUUUGGACGCCUUCGGUCUCGGUGACACAUUUAAGCAUGGGUUGACUGACCCCCUUUUUGUAAAGUUGGCCUUCGAUUAGUGCGAAGUCCCGGCUUCGAUGUUUGAGGCACUUGGCCUCAUUGAUAUCGGUUGGAUGAUAGUACCCCUGCAGGAAUAGGGUUAUUGGUGCCCGCCAGUCUUCGGUCAUGAUGAGGUUGACUAUGCGGUGGCCCUCGCUGUCAUUGGUUAUUUGGAGCCCCUCUGGGCUGCGGAAGGCUGGCGUGCCAAUGACAUGGUAGAAUACAUCGGAGGGCAGGGCCUCGCCUCUGGCGGCUGCCUUGGCUAAUGCGUCGGCCUCCUCAUUCUUGGCUCGGUCCACAUGCUGUAAGGUAAAACCUUUGAAUUGUCUUUCGAGACUGCGGAUAGUCGCGAGGUACUGCAUAAGUGUGGGGUCCUUCGUUGUGUAGUCUUUCUCGACUUGGCCGACGACUAUCUUGGAGUCUGUUCUGAUGAUGCAGGUGGUGACACCAAGUGGCCUUAGCUUGCGAAGGCCGAGAAUGAUAGCUUCGUAUUCUGCUAUAUUGUUAGUGCAUCUGUCAGACUCCAAAGCAAAGCUGAGGCGUGCUGCGUAUCUGUGCUUGACCCCUGUGGGUGACGUAAUGACUACAGCGGUGCCUGCCCCCGCAUGGCACCAUGCGUCGUCGCAAUGGAUUGUCCAUACCCUCUCCGCGGACGUGUCCGGCUGUGUUAUUGGCCCAGUCCAGUCGACGACGAAGUCUGCCAGGACUUGUGACUUGAUGGCUGUCCUGGGUUUGAAUGUGAUGUGUUAGCCGGAGAGUUCGGCUGCCCAUUUGGCAAUCCGGACUGAUGCCUUCGGGUUUCUAAACAAUUCGCUGAGUCCCCUAUCUGAGGUGACCCGGACCUUGAACGCUUCAAAAUAAUGGCGCAAUUUGCACGAAGCCAUAACAACUGCGUAGGCGAUUUUUUCCAGUUCCGUCAUAUUGCAUUUUGAUGUCGUGAGUACUUCGGAGACGUAAUAAACUGGACAUUGCCUGAACGAGCCCUCUCUAUUCCGCUCUUAGACCAGUGAUGCGCUGACCGCAUGCGGCGAAGCUGCGAUGUAGAGCAACAGUGGUAGCGAGGGGUCUGGGCUUGUAAGAAUCGCCAAUUCUGACAGAUACUGCUUCAAAGAGGCGAAGGCCGCCGCCUGCUCUGGUCCCCAUGCGAAGUCUUUUGCGCCGCGGAGUGUUUUGAGGAAAGGGAGACUUCGCUCUGCGGAUUUGGAGAUGAAUCUGUUGAGGGCGUCCAAUCUGCCUAUUAGUCGUUGGACGUCUCUGGCUGACUGUGGGGCGUCAUGUUGAUGAUGUCCUGAAUUUUGGUUGGAUUGGCUUCGAUCCCAUGGUGCGACACCGUGUAGCCCAAUAUUUUCCCCUAGCGAACGCCGAAGACGCACUUUUCGGGGUUUAGGCGAAGUCGUGCGUCCCGCAUGUUCGCAAAUGUUUCGGUGAGGUCAGCCAGAUGGUCUUCCUUGCUUCUGCUGGCGACGACGAUGUCGUCCACAUACGUAAAUAUGUUUCUGCCGACUUGGCCCUCGAGCACUGUUUUGGUGAGCCGAGAGAAAGUGGACCCGGCGUUCUUAAGUCCCUCCGGCAUUCUGAUGGUAUUAUUAAUUCAAUCUGAUAUAACCAUCAGAUCUUAAGUAUUUAAUUAAUCUAGAGCGUACAUUAGAUUAUCAAACCAAAUCAACCUGACAUAACCAUCGAAUGUUCCGCUAUGCACCUUAAGCGCAUGGUCUGGGGCUUAAUCAUCCGAAUAACCAUCCGAUCUUCUGGUAAGCAUAGUAAGCGUAUGGUUCACGACUUCGUCAUCCGGAAUAACCAUCAGAUUUUCCAGUAAGCACUGAAAGCAAAUGAUCCGGGGUUUUGUAGGGGAAAUGUUGUUAGGUGAAUGCGGAUGCUGGCUGAUGUUGCACGUGCGAACUGUUGUGUGGAAGCUGCUAGGUCCUCCUCUAUUGUGCGUGGCUUGUGGCGGGCUUGGACUUCUCUCAUGGCUUUGGCGCUUGGAACUGUUCGUCCGUUCGGUCCUGCGUGCAUCUCUCUCUCCUGGCUGGAGGCGUGGUGGCCUGGUGGCUUCUCUGUGUUUUUCUUUUUACGACAGCUUCUCGUGUUGGCUAGGGUUGGUGUCAGGGGCCCGGUCAACUAUGCUCCCUCAGCUUUUAUAGGCAGAGCACCACAGCAGGCAGAGCAGAGAUAAAGAUUCCAACUGCAUCCAUCUACAAACAAGGCUCUCAGCGGAAGGGAUAAAAGCAUGCAGCGCAAUUGCUGCUACCGUGCUGCAGCCUUGACUCUCGUCAAUUGGAUGACCAAAAGAUGCCACCGUCUAAAGUCUUUUCUUUGUGCAGCUGCCUGUUUGUCACCAACACAAAAUUGUAGGUGCCUGUUUGUCACCAAUUAUCCUCUACCACAAAGAACUACAAUAGUGAUGGAGGAUCCGAUCCUGCAUAGAUCCACGAUAAUGCAUAGUGGGUGAUGCAUGCCUAAUGGUGGUUGUUUAGUGUUAGUUUUGGCAUGUUGGAACUAAGCAAUUGUCGAUGCCAUACGCUAGAAGUGAAGAAUGUUGUUAGCGUUAGGAGUAGAGGUGUCAAUGGGGUCUGAUACCCGUUAAGCCAUGGAGAAUUUCUCUAUUAGAUUUAGGGUAUGGGAAGAUUUUACUUUCCAUUUGUUGAAGUUAGGUAUACAUCUAUUUGAAUCAACAGUUACAGUUCAAUAGAAACUUCUUCCGCUCUAGUUUGUUGCGUGUCCUACCUUUUUCCUAAACUAGUUUUCCCUAAAUUGACAUACUCUCUAGAAAAUCUAUCCAAAUUUUGAAGAUCAAAUAUGUUCGAUUGAAUUAUUCAUGACAUAUAUCUUGGUAUUGCUUUUUUGUCAUCAGAAUAUAUUUUGAACUCAGUAAAAGUUAUACACGAUUUUUUUUAGACAAUACUAAAGCAAGUUGUAAUCAAGAACACUUGAGGUGUGCGCCAAUUGCCACAUUUAGAUAUAAUCAUUCUAAUUUUGGUCGUCCUAUGUGUGUGCAUUCAUCUAUGCAUUCUAGGAUUUCAAUUAGUUUCAAUCUUGUAGUAUUGGUUCCUUCAUUGUCAAAUCACUUCUCAUCUAACUACUAUGCUUGUUUAACCAUCAGAACAUAACUACAACAAUAUCCAUUUAUAAACGUUUUGAUAGCAAACUUUACAUAUUCAUAUCAUGUUAAGGUUGUCACAUGUGUAAAGGUGAAGAGAUCAUGCAUGUCAUUCCACGUAGAUGAAAAGAAUUCCUAUAUAAAAUGACACCUUUUCUUGUAGGUAGUGGAAAGUAUCUUUCCAGCAAAUACCAUAUAAUCCGAUAAAGCGGAUAACUAAAUGUCGAAAUCGAGUAGAUGCCAUAUCAUCUAUACCUUAUCUGUUGUUUGGAAAAAAGACAAAAUCCAAAAAAUAUAUUUGAGACCUCACCUGUAUAAAUAGCUCCCAAAUCAGUAGUUAAUCCAUCACCCAUAAUAUUUUGAGCAUUCAGAAACACACCAAGCGAAGCUACCUAGCAACGACUUAACAACAAUGGCUACCAAGAUAUUAGCCCUCCUUGCGCUUCUUGCCCUUUUUGUGAGCGCAACAAAUGCGUUCAUUAUUCCACAAUGCUCACUUGCUCCUAGUGCCAUUAUACCACAGUUCCUCCGACCAGUUACUUCAAUGGGCUUCGAACACCUAGCUGUGCAAGCCUACAAGCUACAACAAGCGCUUGCGGCGAGCGUCUUACAACAACCAAUUAACCAAUUGCAACAACAAUCCUUGGCACAUCUAACCAUACAAACCAUCGCAACACAACAGCAACAACAGUUCCUACCAGCACUGAGCCAACUAGAUGUGGUGAACCCUGUCGCCUACUUGCAACAGCAGGUGCUUGCAUCCAACCCACUUGCUCUGGCAAACGUAGCUGCAUACCAACAACAACAACAAUUGCAACAGUUUCUGCCAGCGCUCAGUCAACUAGCCAUGGUGAACCCUGCCGCCUACCUACAACAGCAACAACUGCUUUCAUCUAGCCCUCUCGUUGUGGGUAAUGCACCUACAUACCUGCAACAACAAUUGCUGCAACAGAUUGUACCAGCUCUGACUCAGCUAGCUGUGGCAAACCCUGCUGCCUACUUGCAACAGCUGCUUCCAUUCAACCAACUGACUGUGUCGAACUCUGCUGCGUACCUACAACAGCGACAACAGUUACUUAAUCCACUAGCAGUGCCUAACCCAUUGGUCACUGCCUUCCUACAGCAGCAACAAUUGCUACCAUACAGCCAGUUCUCUUUGAUGAACCCUGCCUUGUCGUGGCAGCAACCCAUCGUUGGAGGUGCCAUCUUUUAGAUUACAUAUGAGAUGUAAUCGAUAAUGGUGCCCUCAUACCGGCAUGUGUUUCCUAGAAAUAAUCAAUAUAUUGAUUGACAUUUAUCUCGAUAUAUUUUUGAACUAUGUUCAUCAAAUAAAUAAUUGAAAACAUCAAAUCGUAAUUAUAAACUCAUGCUUGGUCAAUACAUAGACAAUACAAUAUUACUUCAUCAUCCCAAUGAUGUCCUAGCCCAACCUCUUGAAUGUUAUUGUUUGGGUGUGUGAGGGUGUAUAUAUAAGAUAGAUGUGACUAUUUGCGCUUUUUGUUGAGUACAUACAUAUAUGGUAUGUUGAUUUGAUAUAGUGAUGGACACAUGCUUUGACCAUGAAUAUUCAAAUCAGUUGUACUUGCACGAAGCAAAACAUAAUAUAAGUUUAGGAGUAAACUUAUAACUGUGUCCAAACAUGCUCACACAAAUUCAUACCACAUUAUAAUUUUUUGGUAAAUAUUCCACACAUGUAUUUUUUACAAGAAACUAAAUUUUGCACACAAAUGUAGCAUUGUAGACAUGUAUAAUUCUAUGAACCCGUGAACUUAACAACACCAAGGUCAUUAAAUCAACUGGACCCUAUGAGUAACAAUUUCGAUAUGGCAAACACCAAAUUAUUGAACUUAUUGGCUGAAAAUUAUGACCAACGUAAAGUUUAAAUUAUUAUACGAUAAAUAUAUCAAAGAAUUUUUUUUGAGGGACGUAAAAAUUGCAUGGAAUCGGCUGCCUAACGUGCUAGCUCACUUUUAUGCUAGGUAGCAUUACUAAAGAUGGGAAUGUUGCUGAUGAACGCCAAACCCACUCAAAUAAUAUUUAUAUUUGGGUUGUUUAGUUGUAAAAGUGAAGAACCAAGAUUAAAGUACCAAUUGGCCAAUGCCAUUCGAUUGUUUUGUUCAGAGAGCACUUGGUGCGUCACUUGGACUCGUAUCUUAGUCCAAUAGAUUGCAUUUUCCUUCAAUGUGUAGAAUCCGACAAAGUGCAUGUUCUAAAAUUGUAAAUCUAACUAAAUUAGAAAGCUUGUUACUAAUUCGAUGGUUUAUUAGGUGUAGGUCAUAAAACUAGAACCAACAUAGCCUGCACUCACAUGUCAUAGAAAAUAGAAGUAUGCAAGCACAAUUUAUGUGAGCAUCUAUGACACAAAUCAUAUGUUGACUGAUACAAUUAAUUCCUUCAAAAAUUAAAAAGGAAACCCAUAAAGUGUUUUUUAUACUGCUGGAUAUCUUCUUUAGCUAAUCAUGAGUACUAAAAGUAUGUUGCACUUUUGGGUGGGGAGAAUUCCCCAUUCAUAACUUUGACAUAAUUUUAAUUCAGAUCACAUAUAUAUAUCAUAUCUUAAUUAUUAUAUUAAUAUGGUAUGCAUCAUUGGAUUAUUAAAUCAAUUCGGUAUAACCAUCGGAUCUUAAUUAAUAAAUUAAUCUAAAGCGUACAUCAGAUUAUCAAACCAAAUCAACCCGACAUAACCCUCGAAUGUUCCGCUAUGCACCGUAAGUGCUUUGUCUGGGGCUUAAUCAUCCGGAAUAACCAUCCGAUCUUCCGGUAAGCACAAUAAGCGUAUGGUUCGGGGCUUCGUCAUCCGGAAUAACCAUCAGAUUUUCUGGUAUGCACUGAAAGCCUAUGAUCCGGUGUUUUGAUAGGCGAAACGUUGUUAGGUGAUUGUGAAUGCUAGCUGUAACUGUGUUUGGAUCUGCUGAGUGGAAGCUGCUGGGUCCUCCUCUACUGCGUGUGGCUUGUGGCGGGCUUGGACUGCUCUCAUGGCUUCGGCGCUUGGAGUUACUCGUCCGUCUGGUCAUGCGUGCGUCUCUCUCUCCUGGCUAGAGGCGUGGUGGCCUGGCGGCUUCUCUAUGUUUUUCUUUUUGUAGCGGCUGCUUGUGUUAGCUAGGGUUGGCGUCAGGGGCCCGGUCAGCUAUGCUCCCUCAGCUUUUAUAGGCAGCGCAGCACAGUAGGCAGAGCAGAGAUAAAGAUUCCAACUGAUCGAAUCCAUCUACAAACUAAGCUCUCGGAGGAAGGGGUAAAAGCAUGCAGCGCAAUUGCUUUUAUGUGUGACGGAUAUGUUUGACAGUUCUUCAACUGUGUUUGAUUUGGAACUAUAUCAUUGUUGAUGUCAAAGGCUAUGUUAAUGUCGAACUAUGAUGAUAUUAUGUGAAUGUUGAACUAUGAAGAUUUUAUGUGUGAUGCAUGUUGGAACUAUAUGUUGAUGUUAAAGACUUGUUGCGAUGUGUUUGUGAAUGUGAGUUGAUAUUUGAGAAUGUGAAUGCGAACGUGAAUUGAUGUUUGUGAAUGUAAUUGUGAAUGUGAAAGUGUGGUAAUUGCCGACGACUCUUUUGCGGCCGUCGGACAUAAGCUAUUUCUGACGGCCCGUCAGAAAUAACCUUAUUUCCGACCCGUUGCGAUCGAGGGACACAGGUGUCGUCGGACAUAAGACUUUGUCCGUCGGAUCUGAUGGUUUAGGAUUUAUUUCCGACGGCUUUGGCCGUCGAAAAUUUUAUCUUUUACUGUUGUGGGGUCCACAUGAACCUUAUCAAUUGUCACCGCCAUCUACCCCCACCUUUCGCUGUCUCGCGGUCCAUUUGCACGCCCUAAACGUGGUGUGACUUUUCAUGAGAGAAUUGGGAGCGACGACUAUGUAGUAGCUCGAACCUGCUAACGAAUUAUAUAUAUAAUCAUAUGGUAUCCACAACUUUUUUAUUCUUUGCGAAAUUGUACCCAGAACUUAACGCGCCCAUUUCGUUUCCGCUUUUAGAGAGACCUCUCUUGACUAGCUAGUGUUCAUACUUCACUUCAUAGUUCAUAGUGCAUAGCACUAUACAGCAGUCUUCCUCUUCUAAGCAGCCAUGGCUAGCACGACCUCUACAGCAGUCCUCCUCGUCUCAACCGCCAUCCUCGUCGCCGCAGCGACCUACUUCCGCCACGGCACGCUCAGCGGCGGCGGCGGCACCGCCGGAACGCACCUCCAUUUCUUCAUGCACGACCAGUACACCGGCGCGAACCCGACGGCCGCGCUCAUCGUGCCCGGAAGGCCGCCGCUCUCCAACGCCACCGCCACCGCCACCGCCACCGGCAGCGGCGAUGACGACGAGCACCCGCGCCGGUUCGGCGACAUCGCCGUGAUGAACAACGCGCUCACGGAGGGGCCCGGGCGCGGCAGCGCGCGCGUCGGCACCGCGCAGGGGUUCACGGUGCGCGUGGCGGAGCGCGGCUCCGUCAACGCGCUGAGCAUGCACCUGGUGCUGGAGGCCGGGGAGCACGCGGGCAGCUCGCUGGUGGUCAGCGGCAGGGUCGACACCGACCUGGCCGUGCGCGAGUCGGUGGUCGUCGGCGGCACCGGCCGGUUCCGCCUCGCGCGGGGCUACGCGCUCAGCAGGAGCUACGACUACGACCUGGCCAAGGGAGGCGUCGUGGAGGUCGAUGUGUACCUGCAGUAGGUUCGCAUGGCAUAUUGGCAUGCAUCGCUCGUUCCUUACCUCUGUACUGCUAUUUGAUCGGUUUUUAUGUUCACUAUCCUGCAGUUUCCCAGAUUUCAAAUUUAUGUUUACAAGAACUGGGACUAGCUAUGAGCUGAAAACUUGGUCCAGUAAUAACAAGGACUUUGGUUUGGCUAUACUUGGUUUUGUAUGUUUCUUUCGUGGGUGUACUGUAAAUUAAUCCUGUUUCACGGCCGUUUAAGGUAAGGUUUUUCUUUUGUUUUACUGUAAAUUUUCAUUAUAAAAACAGAACGAAAAGAUUCAUUUGUGAAUAUGAACACUUAUCCUAGCUAGCGAUUCUUAGCCAACUCCGGGAGACGCGGGCCAGAAAGCAAACUGAUGAUAGGUGAAGUUGAAGGUACAAACCAGUAAUGAUGAUAGGUGAAGUUGUAAGGGGCUCUAUUCUAAAACUAAUAUUUAGAAGCUAAAAUCAGCUGAGAGAUUUAGAACAAAUCAGCUAGUUAAUAGACUAGCUAAUUGUUAGUUAUACCCUCUCAAUCCAUCUAAUAACUUAUUAGCUGAUUAACAAUUAGUUUUAGAGGUUUGAAAUAUGACCUUAUUCUACUAGCUCCAUCUACAUGUUACUAUGAAAAGUCAUGAAUUCACAAGACGUUUUCGAAAACAAUUUCAGCUCCACUUGUAAAGUUGAUUGUGCGGCUGAAGCCAAGAAAACAUUAGAGGACAAACAAUAACUUACUAUGCUUUUCGUGAACUGUUUCAGGCCAGCAGUAAUAAUUAUUGGUCCUACAUGCAUUAAUGGUUAAGCCGCUAGCUUGCCAAGACGGAGCAUUAAUUAGGAGAUAAGACCUAGCGUUUCAUUGCAUCCCCAUGAAAGGGAUACUAUCACUAGUUCACUACUGCAUGAAUAAUUUUCAAAUGUAGUUAAAAACUGAUAUUGAAAUGUAGGUAAUCUGUCCACCUAUGUGAAAUGUUUAACAGAGGCAGCCACUCUAGGAUGUUGCCCUCGAUCUAUUAAUUACUGAUAGAUGCAGCCAUCCAACUCUAGCCACCUGUUGGCGUCUUUUUGGCCAAAUACUGAUGAACCCUAGAGUCUACAAGCGACGUGCAGUGCGUUGAGUUCCUAUCUACGAGCUGAUGGACUGUUCGGCCCUAGUGGUCGGACUACUGUCCGCGGUUGGCAGGCAGACUAUUCGCAGCGGACUGUACCUAGAUCCCACCUCCCCGAAGUGACCCUAUCGGGAAGGAGGGAUUAUAGAAUUGCUUUGGGAUCGGCAGACCAUCUAAAAGCACAUCAAGUUAAGGUAGAGACGAAGAUUGGAGAUUGGGAAGCUACAAUUAGGGCUAAACUAUGUCUAAUCUAAGAACAUGAAUGUAAAUAAGGUAAAACUAUUAUUUGGGUUCGAUUGAUUGUUGUUCCAAUCGGCCAUAACCCCUAAUAGGGGGAGGUCUAGACCCUUUCCUAGGUAGAGUCCAACAAAAUCCAUGAAUAAUCGAUUGAAUCUCGCAAAAAAUCAUGACCCGAACAUGUUUUGAUCUAUUCCCAAAUUGGUUGGGCUAACACACUAGACUAUCUUGCGCCGAACAGUCUGGGCUUCUACGCCAGACAGUCUAGAGGGUGCCAGUUUAGGUUCUCAACACAUGCCCCCAACCUUUUUGGCGGAGUUUUACGAGACAAAAGCACCUAGCACACCUUGUAUACUUCGACAAUUAAGACAUGCACAUGUCAAUUCAUAUUAUUCCGAAGUAAAGACUCAAUGUGAAAACAUCGACCUUCUAGGUGUCUUGCUAAACACUAGGAUAGUAUCGUUUUAACAAACGACCAUUUAAUGCUUUAGUUAGCUUCUCACCUUGCAAAGUCUCCAAUAUAUAUGCAUUACCAGAAAUUACCUAUACAAUCGUAUAAGGCCCUUUCGAACUUGGGGACCAUUUGCCAAACUUUCGAUCUUUGGUCUUUAAUGGCAAGAAUGUCUUCCAUAACAAAUCUCUAUCUUGAAAUUAUUUAGCCUUUACCUUCUUAUUGUAGGCCUUGGCAACUGCAAGUUUGUCCUUUUCUAUCUCCUUUAGAGCUAUCAACCUUUUACCGAUUACAUCAUCAAUAUUAUCCAUCAUUAGGUUAUGAUAUUCACCUAUUGCUAAGUCAUUUUAUUUUGUGAACAUAAUGGCAUUCAAACUUAUCUCCAAAGGCAAAAGAACUUCCUGGCCGUAUACAAGCUCGGAAGGAGUCACCUUAGUAGCAUUGUGCUUAGAUAUCCUAUGAGCCCAUAAAGCUUCGGAUAAAACCUUAUGUCAAUGUCUAGGAUAAUUAAAUAUCUUCUUUUUUAUAAGGCUAAUCAAUAUCUUAUUACUUGACUCGGGCUGAGCAUAGUAUGAAGAUGAAUUGUGCAACUUAAUCUUAAAAGAUUUAACAAUUUCAUGCACCUUUUUGUCGGACAUAAAAGAAGUUCCCUGGACCAUAGUUAAAGUUUGUGAAAUACCAAAUCUAAGAAUAACAUGUUCAGUUAUAAACUCAAUUACCUCCUAGUGUUUCAUUUUUCCAAAACAAAGGCUUCAGUCCAUUUAGGGCCCGUUCGGUUGUUAUGGAAUGGAGUACCGGAACUGUUUCAAGCCGGAUUGCUUCUCUAAUUUGUAUAAGUUUUGAUCAACAGGAAUAAUUCUUGGUGCGUUUCUGCAGAAACGAACAGGCCCUUAGUGAAGUAGUUUCACUACCGGAAUCCGAGCCUUUGCCGAGUGCCGGCCGCUUUGCCGAGUGCCUUUUCUCGGGCACUCGGCAAAUACGGCUUUGCCGAGUGGCGCACUCGGCAAAGCUCGGCUCUCGGUAACGAGCGUCUUUACCGAGCGUAGGACACUCGGUACAGGUCCACACUCGGUAAAUCCAUGUUUGCCGAGUGUCAAACACUCGGCACAUGGGGCUCUCGGCAAAGAGCCGUCAGCGGCCGUCCUAAAGCUGACGGCCGUCAGUCUUUGCCGAGCGCCAACGGUUGGCACUCGGCAAAGAGUCUUCUUUGCCGAGUGUCGCCCAGUUGACGCUCGGCAAAGAACUCUUUGCCGAGUGCCAUCCCUAGACACUCGGCAAAGUAUAUUUUUAUUUCUUUUAUUUUGUCUCCCAAACUUUUUGUGGUAUGUUCCUACACUAUGUAGACCUACAUGUAUCAUUUGUGGACAAUUUUAACAGAGUUUCAAUCGUUAGUAGAUUUAGUUCGUUUAUUUGAAUUUCUUCGGAAAAUUUAGAUUUGAACUGCAGGUCACUCGAAACUUGGAAAACCGUGCAUGAAAAAAUGAUAUUCAUGUUACUUAGCAUAAGUUACGACCGAUUCCAGGAGCGGACCAAAAACUUCGAGCAACAUGCUCACUAAACAUGGUCGUGAACUUGUCAUCAACAUGUUUAAAACUUGUAUAAAACACAAACAAAGUCAGAAAAUCUUGAAACUUGUCCACGUGUCAUGAUAUCAUAUGUACAGGCUGCGAUAAAAAAUUGAAAAAAUUUCGAGAAAACUAUGACGCGCUAUGUGUACAAACCUAAGAGAUCCACAUUGAAACUCUAUGAUUUCAUGUGUAGUUCUCUUAGGUUUCUACACAUAGUGUCUCACAACUUUGUCCAAACAUUCUCAAUUUUUUAUCACAACCUGUGCAUAUGAUAUCAUGACAUGUGGACAAGUUUCAUGAUUUUCUGACUUUGUUUGUGUUUUAUACAAUUUUUAAACAUGUGGAUGGCAAGUUCACGGCCAUGUUUAGUGAGCAGGUUGCUCGAAGUUUUCGGUCCGCUCAUGGAAUCGGUCGUAACUUAUGCUAAGUAACAUGAAUAUCAUUUUUUUCAUGCACGGUUUUCCAAGUUUCGAGUGACCUGCAGUUCAAAUUUGAAUUUUCCGAAGAAAUUCAAAUAAACAAACUAAAUCUACUAGCUAUUUCAAACUCUGUUAAAAUUGUCCACAAAUGAUACAUGUAGAUCUACAUAGUGUAGGAACAUACCACAAAAAGUUUGGGAGACAAAAUAAAAAAAAUACAAAUGCACUUUGCCGAGUGUCUAGGACUGACACUCGGCAAAGACUUCUUUGCCGAGUGCUAGAUGUGUGGCACUCGGCAAAGAGGUAGUAAAGAACCUUUGCCGAGUGCCGCAACGGGGGACACUCGGCAAAGAACUCUUUGCCGAGUGCCGCUGAUCUGGCACUCGGCAAAGAAUAUUUUAAAAUUUUAAAAAAAUCUUUGCCGAGUGCCGGAUCACGGGCACUCGGCAAAGAAACUAACUUUAACCGGCCGCGCGGCCGGCUUUCUUCUUCCUUCUGCUUUGCUUCUUCUUUCUUCUUCCUUCCCGCGCCUCACCGCCGCCGCCUUCCCACGCCUCACCGCCGGCCGCCUCACCGCCGCCCGCCUCACCGCCGCCGGCCUCCCCACGCCUCACCGCCGGCCGCGCCCGGCCGCCCGCGCCCCACCGCCCGCGCCCCACCGCCACCGUUCGCCCGCCUCACCGCCGCCCACGCGCCGUCGUCCGCCCGCUCGCCUCCGGUACGUAAGUUUAUCACAUGUUUAUUAGUGGCAGCCCAUAAUUAGCUUAAAGCUAGGAGGCUCCUUGGCCUCGUGCGGUCGGAGCUCGAGGUGGAGGAGCCUGCAAGCGGCAGCGGGGCAAGGGGCAGGGGCAGGGGCAGCGGGGAGUAGCUUGUGAGACGGUGGUGGUGGUGGCAUACCAGGGUUGAGCGCGCGGGCGAACAGGAGCACCGAAGAGGAGCCUGCAGCGGUGGUGUUGGGGGCAUGAGGCAGCGUGAGGAGUUACGGAUUUCCCAUCGCAUGGGGAGACUGAUAUUUGCCAGCUCCUAGAUUAGGCUAGCCAGCUCGCUGAUCCGGCCUUCCCAACGGCGGUCCAGGUCGUCGUCCACCUCCAGGUCCGAUCCUGCCCCUUCUGCAGCCACCCGGGCAGCGUCCAGUGCGACAUCUUUCUCAAGGAACGUCGGCCGUUCGCCGUGGCUGCGGUUGGUAGGGUCCAGUGCGACAUCUUUCUCAAGGAACGGCGCGUAGGGGACGACGGCGGAGGGGAGAGGGAGGCGGUGGUGGUACUGGUGGUGCACGACGGGCGGGUCGGGUCGGCACCGCCAGUCGAUGAAAAGCCUGCCGCGCGCCGCCUCGCUGAUGCCGCGGCCGAAGGAGUCCGUGUCCCCGGCGUCGAGGCGCUUCUCCUUGACGAAGCGGCUCCAGCCCUUGGUCAUCACGUAGCUCUGGCUACUGUUCCAGUAGGAGUAGCGGUAGCGCCAGGGCUUCCCCGUGCGGUCCUCGAAGCUGAGCAGGAGGCCCUUCUCGUUCGCCGCCGCGUCCAGCGGGAAGUACUUCUCCGCGUGCUGCUUCGGGAUCACCAGCCGGUUCAGCUUCCCGACGUCGCUCGGCGUCACCACCUUGUCGAACAUGUGCUCCUUCUCCACCGUCGCAUGCUGCUGCUGGUGGUGCUGGUUGUGCUCAGCAGCCGCCCUCUCCUCUCCGCCGCCCGACCGGGUCGCGGGCGGGGGAGUGGUGAACUCCAUCGAUCUCCGAUCGACGACCGGCGAUCGGUUGAGAUCGAGGCAGCAAGUCGAACGUAGGCCGUAGACGCCGGCCGAUCGAUCGACGCUGCUGCCGCUACCGCCUCCGCGUUGAGACUUUGGCCGUAGCUGCCUCGAGUCUGGGUGUGUUGAGGCCCGGGAACGAUAGCUCUUUUGGCCGGGAGGUGCUGUCGAUUUUUUUUUGUAUUAAUAGACUUGUGUUUCUUUUUUACAGAGAAGAUACUUGUCUUCCUAGCCGCUGCGGGUCUGCCUGCACCGCGUCGCGUCGCCACUGCACCGACCCGCCACAGCCCCACUAGCCUGACUCCACCGCCACCCUAGGUAUAACCUCUAUUUCCGCAUCAUGGUCGUAGAUCACGUAACCCAGUUAGGCGUCUCCCGUUCGAAAGUGAUACGGUGUAGAUAUGCAGAUCUUUGCAUAUCUACAAAUGUAUCAGUUUCGAAUUGUCCACGUUUUUUGGACAGCCCGCGGUUGCGUAGAUGGUGUUAGUUUCCAUGGUCUACUCCGGUCCGAGAAAGAGUUUCGGCGUCACCUCCCUGUUGUUCUCCGGACAGUACACUCUCCCUGCCAGGACGUGUAUCCGGAGAACAGCGGGGAGGUGCUGCCGAAAUUCUAUCUCGGAUCGGAGUAGAGCAUGGAAACUAACUCCAUCUACGCAACCGCGGGUGGGAUUAGGACCUAUCCUCACCUAUUAGAAGGUAGGAACGUAGUGUACAUGCAUUACAUGUCUAUAUUAAACUAUACUCGGUUAUAUAUGUUAGAGGAUGGAGGACCAUGAGUGGAUGUACACGGGCCGCGUUCGACGUAAUGAUGUCACCCCAGAAUGGAUUAGGAAGACCGAUGCUUUCGUGGAACGGGCAUAUGGCGAAGCUGCUAAAGGAGCUAGCCUAGUCCCUUGUCCGUGCAGCAAAUGUGACAACCGGAAAAGAAAACCAAAGAAGGCCAUGGUAGAACAUAUUUGGAAGAAUGGAUUUACGCCGGACUAUACUCGGUGGAUCUUCCAUGGUGAAGCGCAUCGCACGAGAGAGGAGGUGGUGAGACAACGCGUCGAGGAUUACGAUGCUGAUGCCGGGGUAGCAGACAUGUUGAACGACUAUCACGAGGCACAGUUCGCCGAAGGACGUACGGAGGACGAGCCAGAGGCGACCGCAAAGGCAUUCUACGACAUGUUUGACGCGGCACAGAAACCCCUUCACGGCAAGACAAAGGUUUCUCAACUGGAUGCCAUUGGGCGUAUAAUGGCGUUGAAGUCGCAGUAUAGCAUGAGUCGAGACGCCUUCGAUGGUUUGUUGACAGUUAUUGGCAGCCUGCUUCCGGAGGAUCACGUUCUGCCAAAGAGCAUGUACGAGGCACAGAAACUCCUUCGUGCACUCAAGAUGACGUAUGAGCAGAUACAUGCUUGUCCGAAGGGCUGCGUCCUAUUUAGGAAAGAACACACUGAGGCAAAGUACUGUCCGAAGUGUAAAUCGUCUAGGUUCAUGGAGGUAGACUCUGGUGAUGGACAGAAGAAGCAGCUCGACAUCCCCGUGACAAUCCUACGCCACCUUCCGUUCAUACCGAGGAUCCAGCGUCUAUACAUGACAGAGGAAUCCGCGAAACAGAUGACAUGGCACAAAAAAGGCAAACGAUACAAUCCUGACAAGAUGGUUCACGCAUCCGAUGGUGAAGCAUGGACCCACUUUGAUGCCAUUCACCAUGAGAAAGCCAAAGAGGCUCGACAUGUUCGUGUUGCGCUGGCCACAGAUGGGUUCAGUCCCUAUGGAAUGACCGCUGCCCCAUACACAUGUUGGCCCGUGUUCGUUAUCCCCAUCAAUCUCCCCCCGGCGUAUGCUUUCAAAGACAGAACAUAUUCGUGUCGUUGAUAAUUCCUGGACACCCGGGGAAUAAAAUGGGCGUGUACAUGGAGCCUUUGAUUGAUGAAUUGGUCCGUGCUUGGGAGGAAGGGGUAUGGACGUACGACCGAGCUACGAAGACAAACUUCAAAAUGCAUGUUUGGUACCAGUACUCCAUGCAUGACUUUCCGGCGUAUGGGCUAUUUUGCGCCUGGUGUGUUCACGGUAAGUUCCCAUGCCCAGUUUGCAAGGAAGCUCUUAGGUUCAUUUGGUUGAAGAAGGGUGGCAAAUAUUCGUCAUUCGAUAAACAUCGACAAUUUCUCCCUCCUGACCAUGCAUUCCGACAAGACAUCAAGAACUUUACGAAAGGUGUCGUGGUGACAGACCGCCCACCUGCAAUGAUGACUGGUGCCGAAGUUCGCGAACAGAUAGAUGGUCUCGUGGCCAACCCAGAAGGUGGUUUUGUGGGAUAUGGUGAGCAACAUAUGUGGACACAUAAGUCGGGCUUGACUCGGCUCCCCUAUUAUGAUGACCUGCUCCUUCCACACAACAUUGACGUGAUGCACACUGAAAAGAAUGUCGCCGAGGCACUUUGGGCGACAAUUAUGGAGAUUCCUGAUAAGUCAAAGGAUAACGUAAAGGCAAGAGUGGAUCUGGCAGAGUUAUGUGAUAGACCAAACCAAGAGAUGAAGCCGCCUAGUGGUGGUAAGACAUGGAGAAGGCCUAAGGCCGAUUUCGUCCUGAGCAGGGCCCAGAGGAAGGAAGUACUACAGUGGAUCAAGAUGUUAAUGUUCCCUGAUGGGUAUGCAGCUAACCUUAGUAGGGGGGUGAACUUAUCUACUCUGCGAGUCUUAGGGAUGAAGAGUCAUGACAUCCACAUAUGGAUUGAACGAAUUCUUCCGGCGAUGGUUCGAGGCUAUGUCCCUGAGCAUGUCUGGCUAGCGCUUGCAGAGUUGAGCUAUUUCUUCCGCCAGCUUUGUGCAAAAGAGUUAGCUCGGACCAUGAUUGCAGACUUGGAAAGGAUGGCACCCGUGUUACUGUGUAAGCUGGAGAAGAUCUUUCCACCCGGCUUCUUCAAUCCGAUGCAGCAUUUGAUUAUUCAUCUCCCAUAUGAGGCACGAAUGGGGGGGCCCGUGCAGGGACGUUGGUGCUAUCCAAUCGAGAGAUGUCUAAAGAGUAUCCGAAAGAAAUGUAGAAAUAAAUGCAAAAUCGAGGCUUCCAUUGCAGAGGCAUACAUACUGGAGGAGGUGUCAAACUUCACAACAACUUACUAUGGUGACAAACUGCCGAGCGUGCAUAAUACACCCCCUCGUUACAAUGAUGGCGGCAAUGAAUCGAACCUCAGCAUUUUUCGAGGGCAACUCGGAAGCGCGAGUGGUUCGACCACCAAGACCCUGAGACAUGAAGAGUGGCGCCAUAUCAUGCUAUAUGUAUUGACCAACCUUGAAGAGGUGACGCCAUACAUGGAGCAAUUUCUUCAUGAAUUCUGGCGUCGAUCAAGGGACCCAACUCCACAGGAAUAUGAUACCCUUCUUAGAAAGGGUGCGGGAAAUGGAUUGCCCGAUUUCAUUUCCUGGUUUAAACAUAAGGUACGUGCUUAGUUUGUUAUUCCAAGUUGCUCUUACGUGCGAAUAAUAUAACAAUCUAGCGUGUUUGAACUUGCAGGGCCAAAGAGAGCCGUCUAUGAGUGCCGAGUUGAGACAAGUAGCCAAUGGCUUUGCCUAUAGGGUCAGGAAAUUUUCUGGGUAUGACAUCAAUGGAUACCGUUUUCGCACAACAAGCUACGACCAAAGUCGGCCCAAUUGAAAAACCACGUGUUCUGGAGUCUUUACGCCCGGGCUUGACGAGGUCGAGUAUUAUGGAAGAAUUGAAGAAAUAUAUGAACUCAAUUUUUAUGGUUCCAAACCUCUUACUCCAGUGAUAUUCAAAUGUCAUUGGUUUGACCCUGAAGUUACGAGACGGACACAUUCUAAUCUUGGGAUAGUCGAAAUUCGACAGGAUUCCACCUUAACAGGAGACGAUGUCUACAUUGUGGCCCAACAGGCCACACAAGUGUAUUAUCUUCCAUAUGCGUGCCAAACGAAACAACAUCUUAAGGGUUGGGAUGUUGUGUAUAAGGUAUCACCGCACGCUAAAUUACCUGUUCCAAACGAUGAAGAUUAUAACUUAGACCCGGACACAUAUGACGGAGAGUUCUUCCAAGAAGAUGGGCUCGAAGGGCAAUUUGAGAUAGACUUAACCGAAGCGAUCGGAAUGGAAGUAGAUAUUGAAAUGGUUGUUGAUGACGAGGAUGAUGAGGUGCAAAAUGAGAAUGACUUAGAAAUACUUGAAGGCAAUGCCAAUGACGAAGUUGCGCCUUCAGAUGAUGUUGACUAUGAAAUGGUUGAUAGUGAUGAUGACACUUAUGAUCCGGCUAACCCGGACACAUAUGAAGAUUAUUUUUAAUCGAUGUAAUGCUAUAUUUCAUUUAUUUUGCAUAUGUUUCUAAAUACAUAUUUUUUUAUCUGUGCUUAAUUGUUUACUCUUAAUUGCAGGUUGUUGGACAAAGAUGGUUGGCGGUGGGACGAGGACGAGGAGGGGGAGGGGGAGGGGGAGGAGGAGCACCCGUAGGACGGAGGAGGAGGCGCAGCAGGACGACGCCGUACAGCAGCAGGUGGAGCAGCAAGCCGCUGUCGAUGCGGCACAGCAGGACGACGACGAUGCGGCGCAGCAGGACGACGACGACGACGACGCCGCUCAGCAGGACGUCUCAGGUUCUGGCUCCUCAGGUUCGAGGAGUAUCUACCUGCGAGGUCCCGCGAGCCUACCUAAGCGACCCAUACUUCGUGACAGACGUCCGCUCAUACGACCCGAUGGAGAGAGGUAGGUAACUUUAGAUGUUGUUGCUGCUUUUUCAUAUUAUAUGUUCAAAUUAAUAAUAGAAACUAAUACUUCAUCUUAAUCACUUUCGACAGGUCUUGGAUGAUUUUGGAGACUGCAGGGGGUCACGGCCGCAACCCCAAUGGCAUCCUCGGCCUUCUAUGCCGGGAACACUUCCCUGGGCUUGUCGAGUACGCCGGAGUGACGAGCCCAGCAUACACCUUCGACCACUACGCUGUCGCCCCCGAUGCAGUAGAUCGGGACGGCAGACAAUUCAACAACAAGGCGGAGCGGGUCAAGCAAGAGCUGUGGGUAAGUCUUCCUCGCACUAUAUUGUUUAAUAAGUCGCAUUUGUUGCAUAUUCUUUAAAUAAUGUAUGGAUACAUCGUCUUUGUAUGUAGGAUUUCUUCAGGUGCGAUGCUGGAUACGAGGCCAGGGCGGAUGUGGUGUCUACGACGUGCUGUAAGAAGCUCGUCGUGGACAUGCACUACGAGGCGCGCAUCCAGGCCAUCGUCACUUACCACGGCUCCGUCCUUGGGGAGAAGGUGAACAAGAAGGACGCCCGAACCAUGUCAUUGACUGCGGACCAGUACUUGCAGGUAAAUACAAAACUUUAUUAUUGGUACUAAAUAUGCUUAUUCUUAUCUUCUGAUAUGCGGUGUACUUAUAUUUUUUUAGAUGAUUCCUCAUUGGUGCGCCGCGCAUCCUGAGUGCUGGGAGAAGAUGGUGCAGAGGUGGUGCUCGGCUGAGUGGGACGAGGCGCACAACGCUAGCCGGGAACGGCGUUUGCUGAUGCAAGGUCCCUCCCACCAUCAAGGCAGCCGCAGCCUGGGCAAAUACGCGGAAGCAUGGGUACGCGCUCUUUUUUAUUUAGGUAUAUAACUUUCGAUUAGACAUGAUUUCUAACCAUAUCGUUGGUUUUCUCGCAGUCGGCGGCACAUGGUGGCGCGCCUUGCUCCACGUUCUCGGCAUAUGCCAUGGCCCACAAGGGGAAGGCGACGUCCGACGUCACCUACAACCCGGAUGACGGGCCCGAGGCGUACACCAACCCCGCCAUCCACAGCCGACUCAGUGAGUACACCGCAAUGGCCAAGGAGGUCCAUGGGCCAGAUUACGAUCCGAGGACCGAGGACAUCGACGGAGAUGUCCUCAUGAGGGUCGGAGGAGGCAAGAGGCAUGGGCGGUACUGGAUUGCCGACGGGGCAAUCGACUCGUCCUCCACUCCCACUCUCUCUCAGGUGCGAGCAAGGAGCACGAGCGCGAGCCCAGCCAUACGACCUCGGCAGGACACCUCACAGCAUCGUAUCCAGCAACUCCAGGUUAUUCCUUAUCUAUUCACCGUUCAUUAAUUUUUAUAUAUCUUCUCUUUGCAUUAUCGUAACAUUAGGGCAAAAUAUUACAGACUCAGCUAGAUGAUGAGAGGAGGCAACGUGAGGAGCUGGAGAAGAGGAUGGCGGAGAUGUUCGCGUACAUGCAGAGCCUUGGCGCCGCACAGGGUCAUGCUCCACCACCUCCGUUGUUCCCUGCAACUGACCCUGCUGAGUUCACUACUCCUGUGAGUAUCAAAAUUUUAGUACCGCAUGAUAUAUAUUCAUAUGUUCUCACACAUACAAUCUAUUCUCUAUGAAGGGUCAAUCGGCGGCGUCGAACAACCCUCAUGCUUCGUCCAGCCCUUCGCCGAACCAGUCCAGAUGCCCACCUCGUUGAUGAUCCAGACUUGGUCUUGUGAGUGUUGGUGAUGUUUGGCUAGUGACACUUUGUGAUAUAUAUGUGACGGUUGGUGAUGUUUGGCUAGUGAUCCAGACUUGGUAAAUACACAUACUUAUAUUUGUGAGACUUAUAUUAGUGACACUUUGUGAUAUAUAUGGUGUUGAUGAUAAAUGUGUUCAUUCUGUGAUGCGAUUGAUAUAUAAUGUGAUGUGAAUGAUAUAUAUCUUUUGUUUGUUUGGAUGGAACAGCAAAAACAAAUAAAAAAGGGACAUCCUGGUCACUUUGCCGAGUGUAACACUCGGCAAAGGGUUCUUUGCCGAGUGCUAUGACCAUGGCACUCGGCAAAGAAGGCAACCUGGGAACCGGUAAAGCCGUCUUUGCCGAGUGCUGACAAUGGCACUCGGCAAAGAAGGCAACCUGGGAACCGGCAAAGACAUCUUUGCCGAGUGCUGAAAAUGGCACUCGGCAAAGAAGGAAACCUGGGAACCGGCAAAGAUGUCUUUGCCGAGUGCCACUGCCAAGGCACUCGGCAAAGGGACUGGCAAAGGGGCCCACUAGAGGGUUCUUUGCCGAGUGCCAGUUCACCAGACACUCGGCAAAUAAACCUCCUUUGCCGAGUGUCGCCGUGGGCACUCGGCGAAGGAUCCGUCACCGUCACUUGGCGCCGUGACGGUGACUUUUCUUUGCCGAGUGCCAAAUGGCACUCGGCAAAGUCUUUGCCGAGUGCCCGACAAAAAGUACUCGGCAAAGAUGCUGUUGCCGAUGUACAGUUCGCCGAGCGUUCUUUGCCGAGUGUUACACUCGGCAAAGCAUUUGCCGAGUGUAAAAUAGCCUUUGCCGUGUGUCUCAGACACACGGCAAAGAAGCUGAUUCCGGUAGUGUUUGGGGGGCGACUAACACAAAUCGAUGACCUUUGAUGAAGAUGGAUGUAUUUCUCCCACAAAAUCUUGGAUCCAUCCUCUACUAUGAAAAGUCAUGAAUUCACAAGACGUUUUCGAAAACAAUUUCAGCUUCACUUGUAAAGUUGCUUGUGCGGCUGAAGCCAAGAAAACAUUAGAGGACAAACAAUAACUUACUAUGCUUUUCGUGAACUGUUUCAGACCAGCAGUAAUAAUUAUUGGUCCUACAUGCAUUAAUGGAUAAGCGGCUAGCAUGCCAAGACGGAGCAUUAGUUAGGAGAUAAGACCUAGCGUUUCAUUGCAUCCCCAUGAAAGGAAUACUAUCACUACUGCAUGAAUAAUUUUCAAAUGUAUUAAAAACUGAUAUUGAAAUGUAGGUAAUCUGUCCGCCUAUGUGAAAUGUUUAACAGAGGCAGCCACUCUAGGAUGUUGCCUCUAUUAAUUACUCAUAGAUGCAGCCAUCCAACUCUAGGAUUUCAAUUAGUCUCAAUCUAUGCAUUCGUCUAUGCAUUCUAGGAUUACAAUUAGUCUCAAUCUUGUAGUAUUUGUUCCUUCCUUGUCAAAUCACUUCUCAUCUAACUACUAUGCUUGUUUAACCAUCAGAACAUAACUACAACAACAUCCAUUUAUAAAGGCUUCGAUAGCAAACUUUACAUAUUCAUAUCAUGUUAAGGUUGUCACAUGUGUAAAGGUGAAGAGAUCAUGCAUGUCAUUCCACGUAGAUAAAAAGAAUGCCUAUAUAAAAAUGGCACAUUUUCUUGUAGGUAGUGGAAAGUAUCUUUCCAGCAAAGACCAUAUAAUCCGAUAAAGCUGAUAACUAAAUGUCGAAAUCGAGUAGAUGCCAUAUCAUCUAUACCUUAUCUGUUGUUUGGAAAAAAAAAAGACAAAAUCCAAAAAAAAAUAUAAGAGAUCUCACCUAUAUAAAUAGCUCUGAAAUCAGUAGUUAAUCCAUCACCCAUAAUAUUUUGAGCAUUCAGAAACACACCAAGCGAAGCGCACUAGCAACGACCUAACAACAAUGGCUACCAAGAUAUUAGCCCUCCUUGCGCUUCUUGCCCUUUUUGUGAGCGCAACAAAUGCGUUCAUUAUUCCACAAUGCUCACUUGCUCCUAGUGCCAUUAUUCCACAGUUCCUCCCACCAGUUACUUCAAUGGGCUUCGAACACCUAGCUGUGCAAGCCAACAUGCAACAACAAGCGCUUGCGGCGAGCGUCUUACAACAACCAAUUGCCCAAUUGCAACAACAAUCCUUGCCACAUCUAACAAUACAAGCCAUCACAACGCAACAGCAACAACAGUUCCUACCAGCACUGAGCCACCUAGCCAUGGUGAACCCUGCCGCCUACUUGCAAGAGCAGCUGCUUGCAUCCAACCCACUUGCUCUGGCGAACGUAGUUGCAAACCAGCAACAACAACAGCUACAACAGUUUCUGCCAACGCUCAGUCAACUAGCCAUGGUGA